GGUUUGCUUUAGUAUCAGUCGUGGCAGUUAUGUUCUCUUGUCCUUGUUUAUUGUGUUUUCAGCACCAGUUUCUGUAGCUGUAGGGUGUCCAUUUUAGAUCUUGAGUCGCCACAUCACGCCAUUGUGGUUUUUUCCCAUUGGCUGACCACCUCUGUAAUAGCAUAAGGGGCUUCAUAGGUAAUUGGGCUUGGGUGUGUGGCAGGUACACCCACCCCUACAGGAAACGAAACUUCUCCGGGCAGGAAGGAGAGGAAAAAAAAACCCACCUCCGUAACAGGUGUCUUGAGCCACUUUCAAGGCAGGCCUCGUCCUCAGGACUUCAUCUGUUGGGCAGUCUUGGUUGCCACAUUCAAAGCUCUUGCAACAGAAGGUAAGAAUUGAACCUCAGGCUGAAAGCAGAAUAAGAAUCCAAAAGGCAGAAGGAAAAUCAAUGUUCCCAAGAAUCAGAAAUUCAGAAAAGGAUGGAGAAAAUGGUAAUAAAACUUCUCCUCAGUACAGUACCUGAACACAUACAGGAUCUUUUCCUUCCUUUCAAGCUUACGAAUCCUCAUAGGAAGUCAGCCUGUGUCAAAAAUUAGAACAAGCUUUUCUUCUUCUUUUUUCUUUUUGUCCUUCUGUAAUGGCACUGUGUGUCCUCCUGCAAGGCUCUUGGAGGUGUGGAGGAGCUCCCUGCAGCACACAUUCGUUCUUGGAAAGUUGAUAAAUUCAAGGACUUGGCUUCUUUAGUGAAGAUGAGCUUCAAGUUCAGGGGUUACAUUGGUGCUUGCUUUUGUUUCAGGUCUGUCCCAAAGCCCAUGGGACGUGCUCAAAUGAUAAAUCAGAUGCAGGUAAAGACCGUGGGGCAGACUUAGUCUGUGCUUCACUCUUAUAUCUUCCAGGGCAGUUCUGCUGAAUUAUGGUUUCUACAAGAAGCUGUAUGUUGCACAGGGUCCCAUAACUAGUCCUGUGCCUGUCGCAACCCAUCCAACCUGAUCCAUAUCAGGGGCAAGCAGCAGAAACAAGCCUGUUUCUUUCCCAUUGGUGCCUGGCUCCAGCGUGGGGAAAGUUUUUCUGGGAAGGCAGGGAGAAAGCUCCAAAGAAAUCACAAAUAUCACCCCAGAAGAGCCUGAGACUCCUGCUGCUUGAGGGCUAGGCUGGUGCUGACUUGUGGGUGGACUCUUAAGAUGCUGGGGAAGAAGGCAAACAACAUGUAGCAAAAAGGCUUGCGGGAGAAGGAUCUGUCAAAACCCCUUUUCUCUGGUUGGAAAAACCCCCAGCAAAUGCUGACAGCCACCCAGGAGAAGCAGGGUCUCCCAAGGGAGUGGAGGAGGGAUCUCAGAGGGGUUGCAUGGGGCUGUGGGUUCCAGGGACAGAGUGAGCCCUGAGUCCUCUAUGAAGUGAGGGGAAAAAAUUGCAUUCAGGCACAGUCAUUAUGGCAACACAGAGGCUUCUGGUAAGCUGUGCUUGUUUACUUGCAUCAUCAUGACAACAACAAUAAUGAAAUCCAUUUCCUUACUCUUUCUCUCUGUGCAAUGGAUGUCACUGUUGCUCUCCGCAGGAAAGUCACCAAGUGCUGGAUCCCUAGCCUGGGAUGGCAGGGAACAGAGUUCUGCUCCUCCUGGGAUGGCUCAUGUCCAAGGCCAGCAUUGCUCCUUUCUAUGCCAGGGACACUGCAGGAGACCUGGCAGGCGCAUCCCAGGAGUGCUCAUCCCUUCUUCCUUUCCUCCUCUCAGCUCAAGCCCUUGUCCUUGCUGAGAUAGCCCUGCUGACCCUGGACCCACCCUGGAGCAUGAUACUUCCAGGAGAGAGCAUGAUCCUUAGGUGCUGGGGCUCCCGCUUGCUGUGGCAGCACCCCACGGCUUGGUACAAUGGCAGCCUCUUGGCACCCACAGAUACGUACACUUAGAGGAUCAGAAUGAGUGUCAGAGCCCUGGCUCCAGGCACAGCAACUGUGUCACCCUGACUGUCUGCUAUGACUGGCUGAUCCUCUGGGUCCUGUUGUACAUGGUGUUCAAGGGGGAACUGCUGCCCAUGCAGUGCUGGGGAUGGGAUGGCAGGGCACAUCUUUGGUGCGGUAUUACAGAGAUGGAGCUGGCAUCACUGCGAUACGCCUCAGCAGAGCAGCAUUCCAUCUCCUGAUCUGAGACCCACCACAGUGACAGGUAUCACUGCUCCUUUUCAUCGCUAAAAGGCAGUCUUGGGUUUUAUACGUUUCCACUGAAGGUAAAUUCCUGUGCCUUUGGGCUCUCUGUCUUCCCAGGGUCUCAUCUGGUGGGAGCUGCAGGACAGAGAGGGUGAGGGGUUCUGUAUGAUGUCUGAGCUGGGUCUGUGCUACCAAUGCCAGUGCAGGAAACCUGGCACCUGCCCACCACCAGAAAAAGACAUGCCCGGUCACAACCCCCAGCCUGGCUCUAGGACACUCCCCACACCCAUCUUGGGGUCUUGGCCCUGCACAGCCUUGGUGGGGUGGGAAGAUUGUCCCUUCCUUCCUGCAUCUUUAGAGGUGAUGCAGCCCCAGAAGGUCCAUCCGACAAGAUGUGCCCCAUCUCCACCCUUCCUCACACUGUGUCCAUCUCUCCCCAACCCCAUCCAUCUCUCCCCACUGCCCAUGCCUGUCUCGUUGUCCCAUCCCCCUCCACAUGUCCCUCUGUCCCCCUCUGCAUGUCUUGCCACCCCCCAAAUGCUUUCUACCGAAAUGUACCCCAUGUGAGUUUUUCCCCACAUGACAUUUUUUCCCGUGUGACACCCCCAUGCACAUCCCCUGCCCUCCUAUCUCGUGCUCCCACUCCCCUCUCCCUCCACCCCCCCCUCCACCCCACCUAUUCCACACUAGAGUGCACAGAAAUUUGGUAGGGGACGCAGCCAGGACGGCUGACCCCAACUGACCAAAGGGAUAUUCCAGAUCAUAUGAUGUCAUGCUCAGUAAUAAAAUUAGGGGGGAGAUUGGUAGGGGGGACACUGCUCGGGGUCUGGCUGGGCUUUGGUCUGUUAGUGGUGAGCAAUUGUUUUCAUUUGCAUCGCUUGUCUUGGAUUUUACUUUUCUGUCUUUGUGUCCCCAUCCCCCUUACAAUUUGUUGUUGUUUUUUUUUUAA